UACAGAGGUCCCGAGCGUUGUUCGGAUUCAUUGGGCGUAAAGGGUGCGUAGGCGGUUUGCUAAGUUUGAUGUGAAAAUUCCGGGGCUCAACCCUGGCAUGGCAUUGAAUACUGGCGGACUAGAGUACUGGAGAGGAAACUGGAAUUUACGGUGUAGCAGUGAAAUGCGUAGAGAUCGUAAGGAAGACCAGUGGCGAAAGGCGAGUUUCUGGACAGUAACUGACGCUGAGCACGAAGGCCAGGGGAGCAAACGGG
rnacentral:rRNA from 1 species